rnacentral:rRNA from 1 species
CAAAUUUUAAAGYYGGYGUCUUUGGCGCCCGCGUUGUAAUUUGGAGAGGCAUCUUCGGUUUGGGCGCCAGCCUAUGUUCCUUGGAACAGGACGUCACAGAGGGUGAGAAUCCCGUGCCUGGCUGGCUGUCCCUUUCCAUGUGAAGUGCCUUCGACGAGUCGAGUUGUUUGGGAAUGCAGCUCAAAAUGGGUGGUAAAUUUCAUCUAAAGCUAAAUAUUGGCGGGAGACCGAUAGCGCACAAGUAGAGUGAUCGAAAGAUGAAAAGCACUUUGAAAAUAGAGUUAAAAAGUACGUGAAAUUGUUGAAAGGGAAGCGCUUGAGACCAGACUCGGCCGGAGAUGAUCAGCCGUCCUUCUGGGCGGUGCACUCGUUUCCGGCCGGGCCAGCAUCGGUUGAGACGGCGGGAUAAAGGCCCGGGGAAUGUGGCUCCUUUCGGGGAGUGUUAUAGCCCCGGGCGCAAUGCCGCCAGCCUCKACCGAGGACCGCGCUUAAUUGCUAGGAUGCUGGCGUAAUGGUCUUCAGCGACCCGUCUUGAAACACGGACCAAGGAGUCUAACAUCUAUGCGAGUGUUUGGGUGUCAAACCCUUGCGCGUAAUGAAAGUGAACGGAGGUGGGAACCCCUCGCGGGGCGCACCAUCGACCGGUCCUGAUGUCUUCGGAUGGAUCUGASUAGGAGCAUAGCUGUUGGGACCCGAAAGAUGGUGAACUAUGCCUGAAUAGGGUGAAGCCAGAGGAAACUCUGGUGGAGGCUCGCAGCGGUUCUGACGUGCAAAUCGAUCGUCAAAUUUGGGUAUAGGGGCGAAAGACUAAUCGAACCAUCUAGUAGCUGGUUCCUGCCGAAGUUYYCCUCA